rnacentral:misc_RNA from 1 species
UCCGGUUUGUCACCGGCAGUCAUCCUAGAGUGCCCACCCAAAGUGCUGGCAACUAAGAUCAAGGGUUGUGCUCGUUGCGGGCCUUAACCCAACAUCUCACGACACGAGCUGACGACAACCAUGCACCACCUGUCUCCUCUGUCCCGAAGGCCGCCACUAUCUCUAGUGGAUUCAGAGGGAUGUCAAGACCUGGUAAGGUUCUUCGCGUUGCUUCGAAUUAAACCACAUACUCCACUGCUUGUGCGGGUCCCCGUCAAUUCCUUUGAGUUUCAGUCUUGCGACCGUACUCCCCAGGCGGGGCACUUAAUGCGUUAGCUUCGGCGCGGGAGGAGUCGACACCUCCCACACCUAGUGCCCAUCGUUUACGGCGUGGACUAC